rnacentral:rRNA from 1 species
GUGUCAGCCGCCGCGGUAAUACAGAGGUCCCAAGCGUUGUUCGGAUUCACUGGGCGUAAAGGGUGCGUAGGUGGCAGGGCAAGUUUGAUGUGAAAGCUCCGAGCUUAACUCGGAAAUGGCAUUGAAUACUGCCUUGCUAGAGGAUUGGAGGGGGGACUGGAAUUCUCGGUGUAGCGGUGAAAUGCGUAGAUAUCGAGAGGAACACCAGUGGCGAAGGCGAGUCCCUGGACAAUACCUGACACUGAGGCACGAAAGCUAGGGGAGCAAACAGGAUUAGAAACCCUUGUAGUCC